rnacentral:rRNA from 1 species
UACGUAGGGUGCGAGCGUUGUCCGGAAUUAUUGGGCGUAAAGAGCUCGUAGGCGGUCUGUCGCGUCUGCUGUGAAAACCCGAGGCUCAACCUCGGGCCUGCAGUGGGUACGGGCAGACUAGAGUGCGGUAGGGGAGAAUGGAAUUCCUGGUGUAGCGGUGGAAUGCGCAGAUAUCAGGAGGAACACCGAUGGCGAAGGCAGUUCUCUGGGCCGUAACUGACGCUGAGGAGCGAAAGCGUGGGGAGCGAACAGG